rnacentral:rRNA from 1 species
GACGAACGCUGGCGGCGUGCCUAAUACAUGCAAGUAGAACGCUGAAGGAGGAGCUUGCUUCUCUGGAUGAGUUGCGAACGGGUGAGUAACGCGUAGGUAACCUGCCUGGUAGCGGGGGAUAACUAUUGGAAACGAUAGCUAAUACCGCAUAAGAGUAGAUGUUGCAUGACAUUUGCUUAAAAGGUGCAAUUGCAUCACUACCAGAUGGACCUGCGUUGUAUUAGCUAGUUGGUGGGGUAACGGCUUACCAAGGCGACGAUACAUAGCCGACCUGAGAGGGUGAUCGGCCACACUGGGACUGAGACACGGCCCAGACUCCUACGGGAGGCAGCAGUAGGGAAUCUUCGGCAAUGGACGGAAGUCUGACCGAGCAACGCCGCGUGAGUGAAGAAGGUUUUCGGAUCGUAAAGCUCUGUUGUAAGAGAAGAACGAGUGUGAGAGUGGAAAGUGCACACUGUGACGGUAUCUUACCAGAAAGGGACGGCUAACUACGU